UACGAGUGCCCCAAGCGUUAUCCGGAUUUACUGGGCGUAAAGCGUCUGUAGACGGCACGGUAAGUUUUCUGUUAAAAUUCCCGGGCUUAACCUGGGAAAUGCAGAAAAUACUGCCGAGCUAGAGGGCGUUAGAGGUUGGUGGAACGGUCGGUGUAGGGGUGAAAUCCGUUGAUAUCGACCGGAACACUCAAAGCGAAGGCAACCAACUGGGGCGUCCCUGACGUUGAGAGACGAAAGCGUGGGGAGCAAAAAGG
rnacentral:rRNA from 1 species